ensembl:lncRNA PCBP1-AS1 PCBP1 antisense RNA 1
GGGGGGGAGGGGCGGCGAGGCGAGGCCUGCGGAGCGGAGGAAGACAAACAUAAAGAUGAAGUGCUUAAUUCAAGGUCACACAAUGUCGGGGAUGGACCUCCAGAUUUCCUUACUGGAAAACAAGCUCAGGGCUCCCACUGAUUGUACAUUAUGAGACGGAGUCUUGCUAUGUUGCCCAGGCUGGUCUUGAACUCCUCACCUCAAGCGAUCCUCCCGUCUUGGCCUCCCAAGUGUCAGGAUUACGGGCAUGUGCUAUCACACCCAACCUGAUACAUUGCCUUUAUAAAUUUUUUUUUCUUUAUUCUAAAAACCAGAAAAAACAAAACUGGAUACAUGUGCAGAACAUGCAGGUUUGUUACAUAGCUGUACGUGUGCCAUGGUGGUUUGCUGCACCUAUUGACCUAUCCUACCAAGUGUGUUGGGGACUUGAGAUGCGUACAUGAGUGUGAUGUUUCCUGCUGAAAGCACAGGUGAGACGUGGUCUUGUAACACAGUGGUUAAGAAUGUGACUUUGGAGCCAGCCUGCUAGGGGCUGAAUUCUGACUCAGCCAUUUACUAACUGUGUGACCUUAGUUCCCUGAGCACAUGCUGUUGAGUAAUCCUGCCUGGACCAGUACUUCCCUCACCCUAGACUUCACCUUCAGUUCCCCUUUAUACCACCUGCUGAAGCUGCCAGCCAGCCUUUUCGACCACCCUCCCUCCCCCAGGGGUGUUUGGCUUCUCAGACCCCAGCCUGAGCUAGUGCCCUUGGCUUCCUAGGGUCUUGCCAGGAAAGCAAAGGAGAACAUGCAUACCGCCAAAGAGUACCUAAUAAUAAGAACUCCCAUCCUGAAUUGUGAUUUAUAGUCAGCAUAGCACAUGUGUCAGGUGAUUAUACUUAGGCUGAUUUUAGCCUUAAUAAUCUGCUUCUGUGAUCCUGUAUGUGGGAAGCCUAGAAAUUUCUCUGUGAUCCUCCUUCCUGGAUCACUAAGAGACAAGUCAAGACAUAGGUCCAUUCUACCACCUGUGUUAAUCUGGGCCUUGUUGAGACCAUUUAAAGAAAGGCGUGAUGCUAGAAGUAAGGUCCAGGCCUCCUGCACACUGUUUCAAGGCUGUGACCAUAGUCAGAUCCUGUUGCUUGAGUCCAAAGAGUUUAAAAUAGUGUUGGAAACCUCCUAGGGAAAAAACAAAAAACAAAACACCACAUCUUCCUGGGUAAGGAAGUGACAUGUGCUGACUAGAGCAGGAGGGGUAGCCAAGGCUCCAAGUUCUAUUCUGGACCUGUUGUUGAUUUGAGGUGUGACAUUCAGCAAUCUGAGCUGAUGUUCUGUAGCUCUGAUUGGUUUCUCAUCUUCUGCAGAGAGAGUGAAAGAGGCUGUGCUUGCAGGGGAAAAGGUGAACACUGGUCUCCUGUCCUUUAGGAGAGCUUCACCAUUACACGUCCUGCCUCUCAUUUGAAUUUCCAGGCUUUUUUAGAGUCUCGCUCUAUUGCCCAGAUUGGAGUGCAGUGGUGUGAUCUCGGCUCACUGCAACCUCUGCCUCUGGGUUUAAGCGAUUCUCUCACCUCAGCCUCCCAAGUAGCUGGAAUUAUAGGUGCGUGCCACCAUGCCUGGCUAAUUUUUGUGUUUUUAGUAGAGACAGGGUUUCACCAUGUUGGCCAGGCUAGUCUCGAACUCCUGACCUCAAGUGAUCCACCCACCUCGGCCUCCCAACCAGGCUUUUUUAAAUGCAGAAACCGCCCGCCCCCAGAGUUAAUAUGGAAACCCAGCAAUGUUGUUUAUGUUUUACUUGAAUUCGUUUCAUCAGAAUUGCAUUCCUUUUAACAGUGUGAUUAGAUCAGCUCUUAGAGGGGAUGGCAGCUUCAGUAGGGUUUAGGAAAGGAAAGGAAUAUUUGUGUGGGGCACACACUUUGGCUUUGAUAGCUUGAGGAUACCAGGUACAUGAUAAUUUAGAUGGAUAACAGAAACUUGUGUCCCUUGAGAGCCAGGCAUGUAUUAGAUGCUUUCAUACAUUAUUUAAUUGUAAUACAAACCAAUAAAGUAUUCCCAUUUUUUGCACAUGGGCAAGCUGAAAGUCAAAGAAGUUAUGUAACUUGCCCAAGGUCACACAGCUAAUAAAAAGGCUGAGCUAGGA